CUUCAGAUCAGCAACAAAAGCACUUAGAACACCUUCUAAAUCUACUCUAGGAAAGUACUGCACUGGCUGACUUCGUAUGCAACUGAAAGGAUAUCUGAGUUGUUGUUCCCCUAUCAGUUUGAAGUAAACGUUGCAAUAAAUCCCAGGAUCCUCCGGAAGAAUAUAGCCAUACUGAAGAUAAAAUAUAUACAUAAAUACAAGGAGGUUAAGAACUUGCUAUAUAAAAUAGUCAACAUUGAACAAAUUAUGUAUUUGCAUUCACUUACCAGAUUUUCCCAGUGCAGCUGCAAAUCACUAUAUGACUGGAAUGGAGUAUCGGGUGGAAUUAUGUGGCUAAUGCUUAUGAUCUGACCCAUUUUCAUGCUGUGCAGAAGUAAGGAAAGAAAACUAAAAAAUAAUAAUUCCAUGCCAUAUAAUGAAAUAG